CGCAUUUAAGAAAACUGUGGGGGAAAGAAAUGAUGACCCAGGAGGCGAGGAGAGGAGAGAGGAGAGAGAACACGGAAGCGCGGUGGAGGUUAUAAAGGGAAAGAGGGGAUAAAAGGAGGGAAGAAGGAAGACAAAAAAGGGAGGAGGGCGCUGAAAAUAAAUAAUAAAGGAAAUAAAAUAAUAAAAAAAAGGCCUCGGGAUUGAUAUAUGUGAUCAUUCUCCUGUUUGUGAUGGAUGAGCGCGAGCCGGGUGUGUGCACAGGACGCAGUGGGCAUGGGUUAGACUGGGAUUAGUCAUGAUGUGGAGAUAAAACAUCUCUUUUUGAAAAAGAUGUCAGCUCCGGAGAUGCCGGACCUGAGCCACCUGACCGAGGAGGAGAGGAAGAUCAUCCUCUCGGUCAUGGAUCGGCAGAAGAAAGAAGAAGAGAAGGAGCAGUCCAUGUUGAAGGAGUCUCCCAACACAGGGCCAAUGUCCCAGCUUUCUCAGUAAGUACACAAAAACCUCAAUUUCCCAGAAUUCUUAGUGCUCAGACAUGCCCUCCUUGUGUGUGUGUGUGUGUGUGGGAGCAGAGUGAAGAAUUAAGCGUGUUUAAAAUGCCGGUGUUUG
ensembl:lncRNA